GGGCCUGUAAGGGUUUCGACGGGUUAGAUGUAGUUAAGAGAAGCAUGCCGCAGACGGCUGAGCCUGCGCAAAAACAGCCAAAAAAAUAAACGCUAAUAACGUUGAACUUCAGGCAGCCUGAGUAAAUAGGCUCCCCGGAUUUAAUCCGGCAAAGGUCAUAGGAUAUAAGCGCCGUACUCUUAUGGCUUAAAAAGAGGCACUUGCAUCAGGUAAACCAAGCUGUUAAGAAGCCUGAUUAAGAUCAUUACCAGACCGAGCAGCAACAGUUCGUCUGCCAGCUGGCUGCUUAGGCAUGAAAGCAGAAUAAGCAUGUAGAAGGCUUUGCGAGUUUGAUUCGGACGCGGUUUCGAUUACCGCCAGGUCCACU
rnacentral:tmRNA from 1 species